rnacentral:rRNA from 1 species
GACGAACGCUGGCGGCGUGCUUAACACAUGCAAGUCGAACGAUGAAGAAGAGAAACGCGAACUUCGGUUCAACUUUCACUUCGGAUUAGUGGCAGACGGGUGAGUAACGCGUGAGCAACCUACCUCUUACAAAGGGAUAGCCUCGGGAAACCGUGAUUAAUACCAUAUGACACAUUCAUAAGGCAUCUUAAGAAUGUUAAAGCUACGGCGGUAAGAGAUGGGCUCGCGUCCCAUUAGCUAGUUGGUGAGGUAACGGCCCACCAAGGCGACGAUGGGUAACCGGCCUGAGAGGGUGAACGGUCACAUUGGAACUGAGACACGGUCCAAACUCCUACGGGAGGCAGCAGUGGGGAAUAUUGCACAAUGGAGGGAACUCUGAUGCAGCGACGCCGCGUGAGCGAUGAAGGAAUUCGUUUCGUAAAGCUCUGUUCUAUGGGAAGAAAAGGACUGUACCAUAGGAGAAAGCCCCGGCUAAUUACGUG